AAAAAAAAACAAAUAAUAAUAAAAAAAAACAACAAAAAAACAAAAAAAAAAAACAAAAAAAAAAAAAAACAAAAAAAAAACAAAAAAAAAAAAUACGAAAAAAUAAAAAGGACAAAAAAGGAGAAAAGAACUUUAGAUGAUGAUGUGUGUGCGAUCAUGGUUUGCUACCUAGACAAUUUGAAAUCUUUCCGAACUUUUAAUAAACUCAAAGACAUUUUUAAAAUGGUUUGGUUUUGCUCUAGAGAAAGAAGACAACUACCCGAGGUAAGUAGUUCUAUGUUAAUUUUACAAUCAUUUGGAAGCCAGCGCAGACUUUCAUACAUUUUAUUUCGUAUGUCUGAAUAUAAUAUACAUUUAAAAAAGAAAUGAUAGGAAUCUUCACGAUUAACACCACAGCGGCAGGAAGGGUCAGAAAUAAU
rnacentral:lncRNA from 1 species